rnacentral:rRNA from 1 species
UACGUAGGGGGCUAGCGUUGUCCGGAAUCAUUGGGCGUAAAGCGCGUGUAGGCGGCCCGGUAAGUCCGCUGUGAAAGUCGGGGGCUCAACCCUCGAAAGCCGGUGGAUACUGUCGGACUAGAGUGCGGAAGAGGCGAGUGGAAUUCCUGGUGUAGCGGUGAAAUGCGCAGAUAUCAGGAGGAACACCAAUUGCGAAGGCAGCUCGCUGGGACGUUACUGACGCUGAGACGCGAAAGCGUGGGGAGCAAACAGG